ensembl:processed_transcript BC006965 uncharacterized LOC110305879
AUCCAUCAGCAAAGAAUGCUGCCUGCAUCUCUCCAUCAUUAGCCAGUCUUCAAAAGAAGCAAGAAGACCGGGGGAUGGGCGCCAGAUGGCUUCUGAUGCAUCUCUGUCAUUCAGAUCUCCUCCACCAGGCAUGUCCUAGUGUAGACGAAAAUGAACGGCUGUUGACUAAGCUCCAGCAGCCUCUCUUAUCAAGUGGAUCAUGUUUCCCUGGGGAUUUCAGAGUGUCCCUAAACAUUGUAUAAGUCCACAAUGUUCUUGCAGCCACACUCAGUGGCUCCUUUGGAAAGGUUUAUGAAGUAGUGGCACUUGGAGGGAGACUCCCGAGUUUGAGAAGAUAUGUACCUUCCAAAGCUGACCACUUUCCAAGUUCUUGCUGAACUACUGAAUAGUGCUUUUCUAAAAGUGAAAAA